rnacentral:lncRNA from 12 species
GGGGUUGGAUGGAGGAGGGGCUCGGGGUGUGGGCUUUGAAUUGACUGGUGUGUGUAGGAUAAGGCAUGCUUGAAGGCCAGUCAUUUACUGUCUCUACGAAUUAGCUAGCCCUGGGAGAUGCAAUCUCUCCGGGAUUGGCGAGGCCCUGAGAUGUUAAAGCAUCGUAAAGUUCUGAAAGUGAAAAUAUGAUUAAUGCAUAAGCCUGAACGUGAACUCCAGCAGACCAAUUGUGUGUAUCCCACGGACCCUGCCUCCUUUCAUAGAGUUCUGGUCUUGAUCUUACGG